CCUACGGGUGGCAGCAGUGAGGAAUAUUGGUCAAUGGACGAGAGUCUGAACCAGCCAAGCCGCGUGAAGGAUGACUGCUCUAUGGGCUGUAAACUUCUUUUAUAUGGGAAUAAAACAGGGUAUGCUUACCCUCUUGUAUGUACCAUAUGAAUAAGGACCGGCUAACUCCGUGCCAGCAGCCGCGGUAAUACGGAGGAUCCGAGCGUUAUCCGGAUUUAUUGGGUUUAAAGGGAGCGUAGGUGGAUUGUUAAGUCAGUUGUGAAAGUGUGCGGCUCAACCGUAAAAUUGCAGUUGAAACUGGCAGUCUUGAGUGCAGUAGAGGUAGGCGGAAUUCGUGGUGUAGCGGUGAAAUGCUUAGAUAUCACGAAGAACUCCGAUUGCGAAGGCAGCUCACUGGACUGCAACUGACACUGAGGCUCGAAAGUGUGGGUAGCAAACAGGAUUAGAUACCCGUGUAGUC
rnacentral:rRNA from 1 species